CCUUCUUCUCUCCCUCACUAUCACCCUUUUCUAGAGUCGAUUAGCCGACCAUGGCCACCGCCUUUCCCUUAACUCUCUGGCUUAUUGUUUCUGCUAAUCUUCUGCCUCUUUUGCUUAUUAUUGCUACUAUUCCAGCUGGAUCCUUUGCUAUACGACCUUAUCCAUCUCAAUCCGUCUUCACCCAACCCAGCGAUCUGACGAACAACCUCCACGGCAGCGUCGCCGCGGGAUUUGAACGGCGAUGGGGCAACAGAAGCGUCGUUGUUGCUGGCGGCGGCUUUGUUUCCGGCGACGGCUCAUACCGAAGGAAUACUGAGCAAGGUAGAAGGUGGUUCAUGACCAUGAGAAGACUUUUGACCGACGCUCCACCUCACCCUUCACCCCGUAAUGGCACGGGCUAGUGAAUAGCGAUGUUUCAUUUAAGGGCAACUAUGUGCUUUCGUUUUUUCAGUUAAGGUCAAUUUCAGCAAACUAAGAAUAAAUUUGAACUUUUGAAGCACGUGGCGGAAAUCUUUGCGGAAUGAUGAUGGCUUAUCUACAAUGCGUGCGAGCACAGAUUAUUAUUGUAAUUAUCUGAAUAUGUUUAUUUUCUUGAAAAAUAUGUUUUCUUUAUGUAUAAUUACAGGACACCAGCAGCCACUUUGUAUCUA